AAAAAACAUAUGGAAAACAUGUAAAGAAACUAGUUAUACUGUUAUAGAGUCCUAUUGCUUGAACAAAAUAAAUAAAUUUAAACCUCAUAAAAUUUUAUGACAAAAAAUAGUAAGAAUUAAAGGAAAUAAAAUCAUUUUACAGUUUGAAUUGAAUUCUUAAAUUUCAAAAUUCAAACUUAUAGCAUUUUAACGGUAAGGUAGAUAUUUCAAUUGGACCCAUACUUCCAACUCUAUUUUGAACUUGUCAAAAAAAGCAACAUCAAAAAACAGAUCAUUAUUGCUAACAGGAAA
rnacentral:misc_RNA from 1 species